UAAAGGACCCCAUGCCUACGUGUUGAAGUCUUGGCUCCACGGCUCUCAGAGCGAAACCAACUAUCUCUUUAAGAAGGAAAGUGAAGACGGGAGGUUUACGCAGCUGCCGGCGAGCUUCCGACUGGCUCAUCCCCUCCAUCCACCUCUCCUCCCCCGCCCUCCACCUCUCCCUCCCCCCAGCCCCAGCCCCAGCAAGCACCCGCUAGCCACCUUCAGCUGGGGCUCGGGAGAGCAAUCCUGCUACCCUCCCGGGGCAGCCUAAACCAUGGAAGCCUUCGCAGGUUGCUGAUCAUCGUCAGGCGGCUGCUGCAGCGACUGCAGAGGCGCUGCGCCAAGCUGCGCCGGAGUCGUGCGAGCCGGCGGGACUGCGGAGGGCGAGUGGACCCAGUCUCUGCACAAGGUCUAUCCUGGAGCAACUGGGAUUGGAAGGAGUGGACCCAGGAUUCCCCUACUGCUCCCUGCCUGUGUA
ensembl:lncRNA